rnacentral:misc_RNA from 1 species
GAUGAAGAACGCAGCGAAAUGCGAUAAGUAAUGUGAAUUGCAGAAUUCAGUAAAUCAUCGAAUCUUUGAACGCACAUUGCGCCCGCUAGUAUUCUGGCGGGCAUGCCUGUUCGAGCGUCAUUUCAACCAUCAAGCCCUGCUUGUGUUGGGGUCCUGCGGCUGCCCGCAGGCCCUGAAAACCAGUGGCGGGCUCGCUAGUCACACCGAGCGCAGUAGCACAUCUCGCUCAGGGCGUGCGGCGGGUUCUUGCCGUAAAACACCCCCUUUUUACCAAGGUUGACCUCGGAUCAGGUAGGAAUACCCGCUGAACUUAAGCAUAUCAAUAAGCGGAGGA